ACACGACUACAUUAGAUACCCCUGUAGUCCUAGCCGUAAACGAUACUCGCUAGGUGUCGGCCACGGUGCGACCGUUGUCGGUGCCGUAGGGAAGCCGUGAAGCGAGUCACCUGGGAAGUACGGCCGCAAGGCUGAAACUUAAAGGAAUUGGCGGGGGAGCACCACAACGGGUGGAGCUUGCGGUUUAAUUGGAUUCAACGCCGGAAAUCUUACCGGGACCGACAGCAACAUGAAGGCCAGGCUGAAGACUUUGCCGGAUUAGCUG
rnacentral:rRNA from 1 species